rnacentral:rRNA from 1 species
GAUGAACGCUGGCGGUGUGCCUAAUACAUGCAAGUCGAGCGAACAGACGAGGAGCUUACUCCUCUGACGUUAGCGGCGGACGGGUGAGUAACACGUGGAUAACCUACCUAUAAGACUGGGAUAACUUCGGGAAACCGGAGCUAAUACCGGAUAACAUGUUGAACCGCAUGGUUCAACAGUGAAAGACGGUCUUGCUGUCACUUAUAGAUGGAUCCGCGUCGCAUUAGCUAGUUGGUAAGGUAACGGCUUACCAAGGCAACGAUGCGUAGCCGACCUGAGAGGGUGAUCGGCCACACUGGAACUGAGACACGGUCCAGACUCCUACGGGAGGCAGCAGUAGGGAAUCUUCCGCAAUGGGCGAAAGCCUGACGGAGCAACGCCGCGUGAGUGAAGAAGGUCUUCGGAUCGUAAAGCUCUGUUAUUAGGGAAGAACAAAUGUGUAAGUAACUAUGCACGUCUUGACGGUACCUAAUCAGAAAGCCACGGCUAACUACGUG